rnacentral:misc_RNA from 1 species
UGUGUGAUGCAAUUCAACCCUAGGGUGAUGCCCAUGAGGCCUUGGGUGUGAUGCCAUAGGAAGUUUAGUUGUGAAGCCUAAACUUCUUGUUUUCUUUGUCACAGCCCAGAAAUCUAUUAUAGAGGGUUGCAAUAAGGUGUUGUGUUUUUACCUGGUGAUCUUAAUUUGUCUUAACUUUAUAGAAGAUCCAUUUAAGAUCAACACCUAAUAGCAAAUUCUAUAAUAGUUUUGGUGAGCCAAAGUUUUUCUUAUGUUCUAAUGAACCUUUAGCUUAAUAAUAAUCGUCAAUCACUUGCUUUGAGUUUUCUUCACCCUCCACUAUUUCCUUUUCAGUUUAUUUUAAAUUUUUUUGACACAAGAUCCCGAAUUUGUGGUGGAUUUGA